ensembl:lncRNA
AAUUUAAACAGCAUUAUAUCAGGACCAGGAUAGACAAACACACCAUUGCAACAGAAUACAACAUCCAGAUUCAUGAGGAAAGCAACAUUUUAAAUCUGACAAUACCAGUACUGACAGGUGGCUCUCCAGGGACUUUGACAAUACAAGUAAACCUGAAGAUGCACUUACCUAUGACCCAAAAUUCUCCUGCUCGGUGCAAAUCCUAGAAAAAUUCUCGUGUGGACAGAAGAUAACACACACGUGAUGCUCAUUACAUCAUUGCACAAUGUGCAAAGACAGGAAAACCACCUAAAUGUCCAUCAACAGAGAAAUGGAUAAGCAAUUUAUGAUAUGUUCACUUGAUGGAACCACUUUUGUGGUCUGAAAAAGUCUUUAUUUGACCUUUAUCUUUGAAACAUAUUUUCACUGGGCGAAGAAUUCAAGGUUGGCAAUUUUUUUCUUUCUGAACAUUAAAGAUAUUGCUCCAGUGUUUUCUCACUUGUAUUGUUUCUUAUGAGAAAUGUGCUGUCACCCACAUCUUUUCUGUUUAUUUUGUCAGGCUGUUCCUCUUGUCAUUUUUGUCUGGCUGCUUUUAAAAUUUCUCUUUAUCAUUGUUUUUGAGCAAUUUGACUCUUACGUGCCUUGGCGUACUUUUCUUCAUUUUCCUAUGCUUGGAGUUCUCUGAGCUUCUUGGAUCUGUGAGUUUAUCAUUUUCGUCAAAUUUGGGGAAAUUUGAGGCCAUUAUUCAUCCAACUCUUUUUCUGUCUCUGCUGUUUUGGAGAUGCUGGUUAUAUUUGUUUCAGGCUCCUUGUGGUUGUCCCACCCCUCAAUGAUGUUCUGUUCAUUUUUUUCCAUAUUUUUCUCUCCGUGUAUGUUUCAUUUUGUAUUAUUUCUAUUGCUAUGUCUUCAAAUGUAUCAGCCUCUUCUCCUGCAAUGUCAAAUAUGUUGUUAAUCCUAGCCAAUGUAUUUUUCAUCUCACACGUUGUAGUUUUCAUGUGUAGGAGUUUGGCUUGUGUCAUUUUUAUACAUUUCAUGCCUCUACUUAACUUUUUGAAUUCCAUAUGGAAUACAGUUAUUAUCAUUGUACUUUAAUGUUCUGGUCUCCUAAUUCUAACGUCUGUAUCAGAUCCAGGCCAAUUUUGAUUGAUUUAACUCUCCUUUAUGGGUCAUACUUUUCUGCUUCUCUGUAUGACUGCUGUUGAAUGUUGGAAGUUCUUGUAUUCCUAUCGAUACUCUUCAGCUUUAUUCUGGAAUGCAACUACAUUACUUGGAAAUAGAUCCUUUUGGGUCUGGCUUUUAAGAUUUUCUAGGUGGGACCCGGGCAAUGCUCAAUCUAGUGCUAAUUAUUGCCCACUAAUUAAGGCAGAGCUCUUCCGUGCACUCCCACAAAAUGUCCCAUGAGUCAUGAAGUUCUGCGGUCUGGCUGGUGAAAACAGGAACUAAUCUCAGACUAUGUCAGCAGCAGGCACCAUUACCUAAUCCUUUUGGGUCAUUCUUUCUCCAGACUAGGGAGGAAUCCUUAAAUUCUUAAUGCUAGUCAUAUGCAAAUCAUAUUCAACUGAAUCGUUGAAGGUGACCCUUUGCAAAUCUCCAGAGUUUUGUCUCUGUGAAGCCCUCUCCUCUCGGGCGUUCCGUCCUGUGAGCUCCAGGCUCCAUGAUUUUCUUGUUCUGUGGCUCUGUCUUCUCUACUCAAGGAGUCAUCAGGCUCUGCCGGGCUGCCCACUUCCUGUACCACAGCCUGGAAACUCCCUCACAGCUGGAAUAUUGGGUAGUUGUUGAUUGACUCUCUCACAGGAUCACUGUCCUUCAUUGCCUGAUGUCCAGAGUCUUGAAAAUCAUCAUUUCAUAUAUUUUGUCUACUUUUUGUCUAUUUUAGGCAGGAGGGUUAAUCCAGUCUCUAUUAUGCUAUCUUGACGGUGAGAGUAAGGUCAUCUUACUUAAGGUAGAAAGGAAUAUUGCAGUUUUAAGAAAAGAACUAGUUUAAUCACUAGAUUUAUACACAUUAACAUCAAUUUAAAUUGAAACAAUAUUGAGGGGAAAAAAACAAAUUUGAAGAAUAGCAUAUUCUGUCUGAAACCAUUGGAUUAAAAAUAUACAAAGUUAUCCUGUAUACUGAUUUUGUAUACUGGAAACUCAAAGACAUGCAUAGGAAAACCUUAAACCACCGUGAUGACGGCAAUGUCUCAGGGAGGAGUGAGUUGAGAGACAGAUCCAAAAGGAAUAAACCAGGGGCUUGAACUUUAUCUAGAAUGUCUUAUUUUCUAAAAAAAUAAGAAAUAUGAAACAAAUCUGUAAAAGUGUUAGUAUAUGGCAUUACUUAAAUCUGAUGGUUGGCUAAAAGAAUGUUUAUCAAUUAAUUAUAUUUUUUCUGUAUCUUCAGAUAUUUCAUAAUGUAAAACACCUAUCAUUUAGGUUAUUAGUAGCUUCUGCUGUCAAGAAUGAAUAUUAGAAUUUGCCUUUGAGGCUCACCAUCUUUUGCUCACAUUUGCGUAAUUAAAAAGCUCACAGAGGUGGCUUCCUGGGGGAAAAAGAAGACCCUCUUCUAAGAAGGAAAUAUUCAAGGUAAUAUAGCUCUGAAGAGGUAAAUUGUUCUGGGCGAUUAUUAGAGAUGUUUUUAAAAGUGUAAGCUGAGUUCUAGAACUGCAUCUCUGCAAAAUAUUUCCUUAUGAAAAAAUGGGUUUUUGUGAAUAUUCAUUUAGACUAAACCGUGCACACAAAUUAUUGUUCAUUCUCGUGCCUUUAGAGAGAUGACUCUGUGUGUGUGUGCAUCCGUGCACAGGCAUGUGCAUGCACACACUUUUCCUGUUCAAGGAUAACAGGAAUAGAGAACCUCAAAGACCCAGGAAGAUCUCUAGGCUCAUCCUCAGGACUGUGCAGAGGAACAGGAUUCGCUAGAUAUCCAUUCUGUAACCUGACAAUAUUGAUGAAUUGAUACCCUGAUACAUGUAUUUAUGUCAGGACGAUUGCACAAUUAUCUUGUUGGGGCAAGACAGGGCUAGACCACACCCCUGUGAGUAAGUGUGUGUGGAGUCCCACUGUCAAAUGGAACAGGGAGAUGCAGAUCUGGGGACAGCAAAUGAAGAAUUGCAUCAUUUCUUUGUGGGAGCUUCUUCCAAUUUGGCUUGGUCUCGGAGGCAAAGAGAGCCCAGCUGGUGGGCUCCGAAUGUGGUAACAUUGGUAGCAAUACUAAGCAUUUCUUGUGAUCUUUUUCCCUUCCAUUAUCUCCCGAAUUUCUAGAAGUCUCUAUUAAAAGUCACUGCCUAGUCUCUGCUCUGCUUUGGAGAAUUAAGGACAAGGGCAUUGCACAGUUGAAGCAGACCAUGGAAGAGGCUGCGCGGGCAUCCACAGCAGAGCCCACCCGGGGCCGUGAGGCAGCGGUCUCAGGAGGCACUGGCGCAGAGGCAGCAGGAGUCAGCAGGACAAGGAGACCAUAAAGAAGAUCGGAGGGCCCACUCCUGAGCACGGGAGGCAGCAACCUUGGACAUCUGUCAAUGUAACUUAGAAAAGGAAAUAAGCAAAGGCUGAAGGAAGAAGAAGUGCAAGGGGCUCAGAGAAACUGGAAGAAUAAACAGUAAACAUGCUUCUCAGUUCAAGUCUCGUCGGGAAAACAGAAACCACUCUAGAUGUUCCAAACAGGGGACAUGUAAUACAGGAAAUCACUUAAACAGGUACUGGAAAGGCAGAGUCUCCAGACAGGGAGGGCAGACAAUGUGGAGAUCAGCAACAGAGGGCAGCUGCUGCUGUCCCCAGGGCUGGGACGUCACAGAGGAGAUCAAUAGCAGUCCAGGAUCCGGCCACUUGGUGGAAACUUCAGUUGCGGCUGGCAUCUCCGCCUAGAGCUGGAGCCAUCAGAAAGCAUAGCUGCGACUGGAGGCUCCCCCAGAAGGAGAGAGGGGACAAGUAGUCUGGCUCUUCCUGUCCUCCUGCCACCAAACUUAACCAAACUUCUCCGGGAUCUGGAGGGCAAGGGAGCUGCGAGAUGAAGGCCC